AGAGUGCUUUAUUCUGCAGAAGUCCAGCAUGCUGGGGUCUCCCAUUACCAAUAGAGAGACAACCAAGUAAGCUUGCAGGCCUGAUUUAAAGCACAUUAGGGAAAUCCAAGGUCCAGAUGUAGACGUCUAUCUCCUUCUCCAGCACCACGUCUGCUUGUGUACCACUGUGUUUCCCACCAUGAGGAUAAUGGACUAAACCGCUAAACUGAACCCUUCCCUGGAGGACACACACAGAAAGUCUGAAGCAAGGAAGGAAGAUUCACUGCUUCAUGCCAGCUCUGCCCCUCCUACUUCUCAAGCCGAGGAUCCCUGGGGAACGGAUGGAUGAUACCUGCUGUUGUUUUCCGUUUCCAGAUGAGUUCUAGGGGCUGAUUCACUGGCCAGGAUGUCAACGGUGGACAGAAGCUCUCACACACACACACACACACACACACUCUACCUUAUUUCUGAAGAUAUCAGGCAGCACCCCUCUCUACAUCUCUUCUGGAUAAAGAAAUAGAGUGUGUGUACCCCCUACCCCCACCCCACCCACCUUGACUCUUCAUCAGUGCAGACCCAUCACUCAGGGUCUAAACUGCACAUCACAAUG
rnacentral:lncRNA from 1 species